UACAGAGGGUGCAAGCGUUGUUCGGAAUUAUUGGGCGUAAAGCGCGUGUAGGCGGCUUUGCAAGUCGGGUGUGAAAUCUCGGAGCUUAACUCCGAAACUGCAUUCGAUACUGCCGUGCUUGAGGACUGGAGAGGAGACUGGAAUUUACGGUGUAGCGGUGAAAUGCGUAGAUAUCGUAAGGAAGACCAGUGGCGAAGGCGGGUCUCUGGACAGUUCCUGACGCUGAGGCACGAAGGCCAGGGGAGCAAACGGG
rnacentral:rRNA from 1 species